rnacentral:tRNA from 1 species
ACUGGGUUGGCCGAGUGGUUAAGGCGUUGGACUUAAGUUCCAAUGGACAAGUGUCCGCGUGGGUUCGAACCCCACACCCAGCU